rnacentral:rRNA from 1 species
GUGUCAGCAGCCGCGGUAAAACGUAGGAGACAAGCGUUAUCCGGAGUUACUGGGCGUAAAGGGCGUGCAGGCGGUCUGUUAAGUCUGUUGUGAAAGUUCCCGGCUAAACCGGGAGAGGUCGACGGAUACUGGCAGACUAGAGGACAGUAGAGGCGUGUGGAAUUCCGGGUGUAGUGGUGAAAUGCGUAGAUAUCCGGAGGAACACCAGUGGCGAAGGCGACACGCUGGGCUGUACCUGACGCUAAGACGCGACAGCAUGGGUAGCGAACGGGAUUAGAUACCCCGGUAGUCC